AUGCAGGGUUGGGUGGAGCGUUUUCUUGCAUGUGCAGGGAGGGAAAUCUUGUUAAAAUAAGUCAUACAGGCCAUCCCCACCUACAACAUGUCUUGUUUUCAGCUUACAAAGAAAGUUUGCAAGCAGCUCACGUCCUCUAUGGCUCGUUUUUGGUGGAGCAGUUUGAUUGACAGAAGAUCCUUGCAUUGGAUGUCAUGCGAGAGGCUGUCCGCACCGAAAGAACAAGGAGGGAUGGGAUUCGCAGAGUUCAGACAUUUUAAUUUAGCUCUUUUGGGCAAACAUGGCUGGCGAUUCUUGACUCAGUCGGACUCUUUAUGUUCUCAACUAUUGAGAGGCAAAAUACUUCCCUGA
rnacentral:rRNA from 1 species